UACGUAGGGGGCUAGCGUUGUCCGGAAUUAUUGGGCGUAAAGAGCUCGUAGGCGGUCUGUCGCGUCUGCUGUGAAAACUCGGGGCUUAACUCCGGGCCUGCAGUGGGUACGGGCAGACUAGAGUGCGGUAGGGGAGACUGGAAUUCCUGGUGUAGCGGUGAAAUGCGCAGAUAUCGGGAGGAACACCCGUAGCGAAGGCGGCACUCUGGGCCGGUACUGACGCUGAGGAGCGAAAGCGUGGGGAGCAAACAGG
rnacentral:rRNA from 1 species